UGCGUAGGUGGUUUCGUGUGUCGGAUGUGAAAGCCCAUGGCUCAACCGUGGAAUGGCAUCCGAAACUGCGGAACUAGAGUCCAGGAGGGGAGAGCGGAAUUCUUGGUGUAGCGGUGAAAUGCGUUGAUAUCAAGAAGAACACCGGUGGCGAAGGCGGCUCUCUGGAAUGGUACUGACACUGAGGCACGAAAGCUGGGGGAGCAAACA
rnacentral:rRNA from 1 species